UCCUUGGCAGGAGCCAGUCAGGACAGGGCGCAUGCUUGGAAUGGAAGAAGAUGUGCUGAGCGGAUAAACGACCCUACAAACGGCAUACAGUAUUCUUGCGGCAAAAUGUGACCCGGAGAUGACAACACGGUUUUGCAAUUCUUGAGACUGCGGCCCUGAUCUAAGGGCUCGUAAUUUGAAAUCUGAAAACCUGGGUCUGAGGAAGUCUUUCUGCGGUGACUCUACACUUCCUUGAAGAAAAAGGCCUCCAGCGUCCUAAUUUUCGUCUGUCCAACAUAUUUGACCAGCAAUAUCAAUGGUAGAAAAAUUUGAAAUUCAAGCCUCUGGACGCUUUCUCUGUUUUGGAAGAAAAAUCGGAAGGGCUUGAACAGAGUCGUCGGAGCAGGACCUCAGACAAACAGGGCAUCUGCAUUCCUCUCGCCGCCCACCUUCCCGUGAUGAGCAACUCAAGGACCAAACAAUCACGGUCGACUCCCCUCCGU